GAGAAACCUAUGGGCUUGAAAUGAUUACAUGACUGUGUAUAAGAUUAGAGUUACAGGAUCUGGCAAUUGUGUGUUUUAAAAAGCUCAACCUUUGCGUUCGGAAUUAAUAGCUGUAGCAUCCUAACUAAUCAUCUGCUUUCGUUCUUGUAGUUUUCUUCCGAUUCAAAAAUAAUACAGGCCAUAGGAUACAGUGGAGCUGGCAAGGGCUUGUGUUCCAUUAUGUCACCUAGCAACUUCACAUGCUUCCAAAUAAACAGCCUUAGGUGAAGUUUGAUCCGCUGAAAACAUGUGAAAAGAAACAUUACUUGAAAAGGAAAAGAAACAAAACAAAAUCCCUGUCUACUGCUUACUUUCAGGUGAAGAAACAGACCCAGAUAAAUGAAGUACUCCAAGACCUAAAACAUAUGUACAUGUUCUGCACAAACUGCCACUUUCAUGUCUUGGCUAAGUUGAUCCAAAUGUAAUUAAAUUUUUACACCUUCCUAUACCUGCAAAAUUAAUUUGAAAAAAAAAAAAUGUGCAGGAACAAAGCUUUUAGAUUUUAGAUAAUUUCUGCACCUAAUCAGGACAUGAGUCUUCUAAUAACAUUUUUUAUGACACAGAAUUUUAUAAAAUGACACAAAAAGUCAUAAAUUUGUUUGUUUGAGCCUGUCACCUUUCCAUCCAUAUUGGAAUAAUCAAAGGAAAAGACAAAUCAAAGAUAUGUAGCCUAUUCUUGAUACACUGGUUAAAAAAGUUCUAUCUGAAAUGGUUCGCUACUGCUAACUUUCACCAGUGGCUUGUCUUCUCCUAUAAAUGGGUAUAUAAGAACAAAAUGGACUAAUUUGUAGCACAUUUGACAAUAUGUUGUACCUUGGUCUUAGAAUAUACUGAGCAUCCCGACUUCAUUCAUUUCAAACUGCUUUGGGACUCUAAGGAACACAUUCUGGGUGGGCCCCACUUGGAGUGCUACAUCCAGAUCUGGGGCUCCCUGCGCAAGAAAGGUGU
rnacentral:lncRNA from 1 species